rnacentral:lncRNA from 1 species
ACUGUGGCAGGAGCAGUGGCGCUGAGCGUGCCCACGGGCCGCGGCUUGGGUCUCUCUCAUUUUCCAGGUGGUAUGGCCGUGGACAAUGGCAGUGGCGCCUGGCUGGCCCAAGAGCCCAGUCCAGCUACGCCUGCCUGAUUCCAGGCGUCACCACCAACCCGGGGGCCGCGAGGCUGGGAUCAGGCACCCCGGAGCCGCUUGCCUGUGGCCGGGCUGCUCUCCCCCUCUACGCCCAAGCACCACCAUCGCCGCGCUGCGCUUUCCGCCGACCUCCCAGAGCGUCCCGAUGUCGCCGGCGGCCAGACCAUGCGCGAGACAGCCCAGGCGCCAGAGACCUCCAUCCCCUGCCAGGGCUCUGGACUCUCCAGGCGGCCACCCUCUCGCUGGGACUCCAGGCCUUCCCCAGGCUCUUGAGCUCCCGAGCUUCCAACACCUGGGGCCCGCUUAGGACGGGGUGUGCUCCGAGGCGUCAGGGCCCAGGGCCCACGGUCCUGGGGUCCCCUCCGGUCCUCCGCCUUGCCGCGGAAAAAUUAUUUUGGAUUCCUCACCGCCCCUCCUGCAAGGCCCCCUCUUGCCCCACACACCCAGAGCCGCCAGGGCUGCCCAGGGGCGAACAGCCGGCCCAGCCCCACAGGCCCUUUUUCUCACAAUGCUCACACCAUCGUCGCUUGUUCUGAGGAGGACCCGCCAUGGCCAAAGGGGCAAGAAGGCUCUGCUUUGCCCCGCCCUGGCACUAGAGCCCCGGCAGCCUCAUCCCGGGAAAGAGGGGCUGACGGACACCCAGACACACCCCACCACUACCACGAGCAAACCCACCCUGACACACCCACGGAUACACACGGGUGCAUGCGCGCAGACACACACACACACCACACCCGGGCACACACACACGGACACACAAAGACACAGACACAGAUAGCUCAAAGGGAGACCUCCCCUCAUAUUGUCUUAUGCCCAAUUUCUGCCUCCAAAGAAAGAAGAAGUAAAAUCUAAAAGGCAGAAAUGAAAUCCACAGGCAGACAGCCCCGCGCCACACCCUGGGCCUGGUAGUUAAAGAUCGAUCCCUGACCUACUCGGUUAUGUUAUCUAUAGAUUACAGACAUUGUAUAGAAAAGCACUGUGAAAAUCCCUGUCCUGUUUUGUUCUGAUCUAAUUACCUGUGCAUGCAGCCCCCAGUCACGUACCCUCUGCUUCCUCAAUCCAUCAAGACCCUCUCACGCGGACCCCCUUAGAGUUGUAAGCCCUUAAGAGGGACAGGAAUUGCUCACUCGGAGAGCUUGGUUUUUGGAGACGUGAGUCUGCGGAUGCUCCCAGCUGAAUAAAGCCCUUCCUUCUACAACUCGGUGUCUGAGGGGUUCUGUCUGCAGCUCCUCCUGCUGCAGAAGGAGAGCAAGGGAGAGAGGGAUGGAGAAAUAGAACCAGAGGGAGAGAGAGAGACAGCGAUAGAGAGAGAGAGAGAGAGACAGAAAAGGGGGGAGGAGAGAGAGAGGGGGGAAGAGAGAGCACCACAGUAGAGCGCGAGGUGGAGGGGGAAGUAGAGAAAGGGAGAGGGUGAGGGAGUUGUGGAGCGACAGCGACAGAGCCUUGGAGAGGGAGGCUCUGCUCAGGUAGACAGGGCACCUUUCAGCAGGCCGGGGUGUGGUGGAGGGUUCUUGGGCCGGGCUAGAACAGGGGGUCAGGGCCCCCCACCCAGGAAAACCAAUGGAGCCCUGAGACUUGUUUUUUUCCUUGGAUUGGUUGGUUGCUUUGGGGGUGCGUUUCAUAAGGUCCUUCCUUUGUUUGCUUCUUUCUGUCUCCUUGAUGCGGUGGGCCCCGAGAUUUGUAGAGUGUGCUCGUGUGUCUGGCAGGAGCCGUGGCGCCGAGCCUGUCCACGGGGCGAGGCCUGGGUCUCUCUCCUGUCCUCCGGACUGGAGUUUACACGAAGUCGGUGGCAUUGGGAAACAGGGUGCACAGGGACGGAUUUCCUCGUGGCUGGCGAAGAAAAUGUCCUUCCUCUGGGGAAAGCAGCCCUCGGGUUCUGGAGCGGAGGUCUUGGCUGGGGUCUGUGGCACCCGCUGCCCCUGCUCGCCCCUCCCACCGGCUUGGACGGUUGCAGUGACGCUGAAUGAAUGAAUACAAUUGCCUGGGAGUCCGGGGAGCGUGAAGAGACCCGGGACCUCAGGGAACCCGCGCCUGCACCCUCGGGGUCGGUCCCGUCCCGCCCGGGUUGGGUGGGGCUGCCGCGAGUCGGAAGAGGUGGGAUGCUGCUGCCUGGCGGUGCUGCAGUGGCGGAUCUUCAGGAGGAGGAUUUGUCCCCAGUGCCUUAUUUAGUUCACUUGGUGAGGUCAUGUUUUCCUGGAUGGUGUUGAUGCUAGUAGAUGUUCUUCAGUGUCUGGACAUUAAAAUCUUGGGCAUGCAGCACCAUAUGAGAAGUUUAAAAAAUAAAAUUUAAAGAGAGAAAAGGCUUUGGUAUCAGGAUGAUUCUG